GGAUGCGAUCAUACAAGCACUAAAGCACCGGAUCCCAUCAGAACUCCGAAGUUAAGCGUGCUUGGGCGAGAGUAGUACUAGGAUGGGUGACCUCCUGGGAAGUCCUCGUGUUGCAUUCC
rnacentral:rRNA from 1 species